AUUCCCCGUUUCUACGUGUGGUCUCAGAUCUUUUUCAGUCUUCAGUCCAAUUCUUUGUGUAAUUCUAAAUGAAUUUUAAUCUCAUAACAUAAAAAUAUUUCUCUUAGAAAUAAUUGUCUCAGCCUUAUUUCAUGCACGUGCUGUAUAACCAUGCACAUCCUUAUCACACUGGUUACUAAUGCAAACUGUGAACAGCACGAAACACGAAGAAGUAUUUUCUUGGCUUCUUUGUUAGGCUUUUCAGAUGGCCAGGAAAGCUCUGAUAAAUGAUAAGUACUCAGUAAGUAAGAUUUUUCAGCUCACUAUGCAUUCACAUCACAGCGAUUUCAUAAUAGCCCAUAUUUCCCCAGUUAGCUCAUAAGACUGUCAUGUGAGACAGCACCAGAAGUCUUACUAAAGACGAGAUAAAUCACAUCUACUAGUUUUUAGAUUAUCCUGUCACAGAAAUAAAUUAGGCUGGUUUGACAUGAUUUGUUUAUUCUUGACAAAUCUGAGUUGGUUUCUUAAGACCUUGUAAUCCUGCAGCUGUGAAGAAAUGUAUCGUGUGAUAUCUUUCUGGAUAUUGAUGCUAGCAUACCUAGUCUUUAAUUGCCUGGCUCAUCUUCUCUUCCCUUUUUAAAGGUCAGCAUGAUCUUUGCUCCUCUCCAGUCAGUUGAAAUCCCAUCUUCCCUCAUGCAGUUCAACAUGACUUCUCCAAGAGUACAGGCAGUGGUUACCCUUGGACUAGUUCUUCAAGUUUGCUAUAGUAAAUCACACAGAUUCUGAAAACUUGAAAGCAUCAUUCUGACUUGGAGGAUUCCUAAUUCUAAAAUACAUAUUGGCAAAUAUUUUUACUGCAUGCCCAGGAUUUUAACUUCUGUCUUGAACUUUCGCAAGCAAGCAAGCAAGCAAGCAACAUAGAUUAACUGUUAAAGAAACAUAGUAACAUCUGAUUAGCAAAUUUCUUCAUUUGUUUUUAAUUAAACUGAACAAGUGUGGUAAAUCACUGCUAUAUGAAUUUGAGGCUAGAUGAUAAAGUCAAGCAUCCUAUGAAGGUAGUUGAGAUCUACUGUCUGGGAUCAUUUCUAAAUCUGUUAAUUCAUUCUGCUGCUAUAGACAUAAAGGGGGGAAUAUGCUUUAUCUCCACUCCUCUUGCAUCCAGUUUAUCCUAAUAUUAUUAGAAAGCUUCAUUUCUAAAUCUCUUUAGAAAAGUGGCCCACUUGAGUUUACCCACGAUGGGUUUGUAAUUAAUACCCUUUCAAAAGUGUACGUGUGCAAGUGAGUAUGAAAUAACCAGAGUUCUGUGAAUCAUGUUUAGUAUUUGGGGAAAUAGGGAAGCAGAUUUUAAGCUUGUAUGUGAGCUGGUUCAUCACUAAGCCAUGAAACAUACCUGAAAUUACUGUUUCAGCAGUGGUAAAGUAGGUCAUCUAAAUCUAAAGCAGAUUUCAUGUUCUGACAUGAAAUCUGAGGCAACCAUAAAUGUCAUCAUCCUAUACAUGUAAAGUGCCCGUAGGCUGCUCCUCUAAUAAAUACUACAUGUUAUUCCCAGAAGAAACUUUGUAGUACACUGAGACUGCCUCUCCACUGUCAAAGUUCACAUGCUUCUGACCUGCUGAGCAGCCUUGUCUGAGGUGAAAGCACUGCAUCUUUAGCAGUCCAGCCAAAACAGCAUCCAUCUUGGCAGGACCAUCAUCUUCACCCCAAAACAUUGCACCCACCCCAUAGGGCUGAAUUUCUUCUCUUGGCACAAAGCCCACAAGGAUGAAAACUGAGUAUUUAAUCUCACUCCAUUCAUGUGAGCUUGGAGUAUAAUGUAAUUUUAAGGCCCUGAGAUGAAGCCAGAAAAAACACAUAUAUGUUAAAAGCAAUUAGUUUG
ensembl:lncRNA